GAUGAACGCUAGCGACAGGCUUAACACAUGCAAGUCGAGGGGCAGCGAGGUUGUAGUUUACUAUAACUGUCGGCGACCGGCGCACGGGUGAGUAACACGUAUGCAACCUGCCCGUUGCAGGGGGAUAAGCGGAAGAAAUUCCGUCUAAUACCGCGUAAUAUGUGCCUGAGGCAUCUCGGGCACAUUAAAGAAAUUCGGCAACGGAUGGGCAUGCGGCGCAUUAGCUAGUUGGCGGGGUAACGGCCCACCAAGGCGACGAUGCGUAGGGGUUCUGAGAGGAAGGUCCCCCACACUGGUACUGAGACACGGACCAGACUCCUACGGGAGGCAGCAGUGAGGAAUAUUGGUCAAUGGGCGGAAGCCUGAACCAGCCAAGUAGCGUGAAGGAUUACAGCCCUACGGGUUUUAAACUUCUUUUAUAUAAGAGUAAUGUGCACUACGUGUAGUGUAUUGCAAGUAUUAUAUGAAUAAGCAUCGGCUAACUCCGUGCCAGCAGCCGCCGUAACAC
rnacentral:rRNA from 1 species